rnacentral:rRNA from 1 species
CCCUUAGAUGUUCUGGGCCGCACGCGCGCUACACUGAUGCAUUCAACAAGCCUAGCCUUGACCGAGAGGUCCGGGUAAUCUUUGAAACUGCAUCGUGAUGGGGCUAGAUUAUUGCAAUUAUUAAUCUUCAACGAGGAAUGCCUAGUAAGCGUGAUUCAUCAAAUCGCGUUGAUUACGUCCCUGCCCUUUGUACACACCGCCCGUCGCUCCUACCGAUUGAAUGUGUUGGUGAGGAGCUCGGAUUGGCAGCAGUUGGUGGUUCGCCACCGGCCAUUGCUGAGAAGUCCUCCAAACCGCCCCAUUUAGAGGAAGGAGAAGUCGUAACA